CUCCAACUCAUUCCCUCUGAGUUGUAUUGGCCCCUGCAAGGCUAACUGGUGUAAAAAGCAGUAAAAACAUAUUUUUGUCAUAAAAGUCAGCAGGUAAGACUCUGAACACACAGAGAGCAGCAUAGGUGCUCAAACUAGACGUGCUGGGGGGUGCUUCAGCACUCCCUGGCUUGAAGGAGUAAUAACGCAAAUAUGUAGUUUCUGCCUACAGCACCCCCCACUAUAAAAAUUGUUCCAGCACCACUGGAGCGCAGAGCUGUUGAGGAAGAAGGUGCUGUUUUUCCCUUUUCAGAACAAGUCUGCAUUUUAAGGGUUUCUUAUGAACACAAGACACCGAGGAUGAGCGUUGUUUUCUUUAUUAUAUAUCAGCACCAUCAGUGAUGGCAACCCAACUCUAUGAAUGAGAUUUAUUAGCUAGCUUGUGCCCCCUCUGAUGGCUGAAUAGCUGAUGCUGUAACAACAAAGCAUAAAUGUUUUAAGGUGCUUCAAAAAUAAUGUCUAUUUUGGUUUGGUUUCAGAGUGGUAGUCUGUAUCAGCAAAAACAAUGAGCAGUCCUUGUGCCACCUUAAAGACUGACACAUUGAUUUGGGCAUAAGCUUUCAUGGGCUAAAACCUACUUCAUCAGAUGCAUGGAGUGAAAAAUACAGAAUGCAUCUGAUGAAGUGGGUUUUAGCCACGAAAGCUUAUGCCCAAAUCAAUUUGUUAAUCUCUAAGGUGCCACAAGGACUCCUCUCUGUUUUUAUUUUGGUUUGGUUUGAGUUUACAAGCAACAAAUUGGUAGAUAAAAAAAUAAUUCACAUUUAGAAUUAUUAGAAGAGUCCCAUCCCCACUGGAUUUAUAACAAUAUUAAACUACCAUGAAUAACAAUUUUGGAAAGAAGUACAUGAUAAUAUCCUUUCUGUAACAGGGUGGCUGACCCUAAGAACAUGCAUAGGAAUGUACAGUUCUUUUGCUGAGUCACAUUAGGCUCAGAUGCUAAAACCCUGUGUUAUGGUACAAGGUAAUUACUGCUGAGUCAUGCUGGUAGAUGCAGUUUUGGGAGCUUGGACGGAGGACAUACUGUGGAGAAUCCUAAAAGAGCCAAGCCUGGGCUGGAAGCUUAUGCUAAGAAUUUGAAAGAAGAGGAAUUUGGGAUGGAGAGGACAUUCCAGUCAUAGGAAGCAGGGUGGAAGAAGGCAUGAGAAUGAAAGGAGAUGAAGGGAGAAACAAGUCCCCCUAUUACUAAGAGAACACAAAAUUCUGGAAAUCAAGGGAGCUUGAGAUUCCCAGUGACCUGAGAGUGGAGAGAGGCACUAGUCUUCUCAGCGAAGAGCUUCACACCCUCGAAGGGGAGGUCCUCCAUUGUGGUCUGCACCUCCUUCGGGAAUCCCAAGAAGUAAAGCCAUGAUGCCAGUCUCAUCACCAAAGCCAUAGAGAUGGAUCUGGCAGCCAUGUUGUUUUUGCCACUAAUUGCCUCUCCUGAAUGAUGGCCUUGAAGGAAUCUCAAGAACUCUCUGGUAGCUUGUCAUUUAACUUAUUAUAAUUUGUGUAAUAAUAUUUUGCCAAGAGCACCUGGUAGUUGACAAUACAAAAUUGUAAGGUGGUCGAAGAAUAUGCCUUCCUACUAAAGAGAUCAAGGCGCUUCCAGUCUCUGUCACAGGGUGAUGCCCUGGAAUGGUGUUGUCAGCCACAAGAGUUUACAGAGUCCACUACUAUGGAGUCGGGUGGUGAGUGAUUGAAAAGGAACUCUGAUUCCUUUGUGGGGACAUAAUAUUUCUUGUCUGCCCUCUCACAUGUCGGGGUUACCAAUGCCGGGGUUUGCCACACCAUCGUAGCCAGGUUUAGGAUAGACUUAUUGAUUGGGAGGGCGAUUUUCGAGGAAGACGAGGAGUGGAAAAUGUUGAUGAGCUGGUGGUGCAUGUCUUUGACCUUCUCCAAUGGUAUGUGAAGAGUGGUCUGCUACUCUUUUUCCAGUUCCUGAAACAGGCAGAAGUCAUCUGCCAUCAACAGUGGUGACAGAAUGACCACUUUGUAUGAGGAUGAGGAGGAUAUGGCCUUAGGGGUUAUCUCCUCCUCCAUGUCCUCUCCUUACUCCUCCAUUUCUUAAGGCUCUGAGGCCCUCAAUGCUGUGGCUGAGGGAUCGUGCCUGGAGGGUUGUUGGACAAUGCUUGAAGCCCGGGAGGCUGGCUGUUCGUGUGCCACCCAAAGGUCCCAGUAUGGCCACUGUGGUGACACAGGGCCUGUCGGAGGUGCCCCAUGGGUGGUCGUACCAAGAUGCUGGUGGUGCCAUCUGCUGGUACAUUCCUGCUUACUAUCUGACCCCUCACUUGAUAGUCGAGGGGCAUGGCAUGAUAGCAGGGAGAUAUCCCAUUCCCAGCAAUGGCUCGGUGCCAUGAUCUCAGUAUCAAGGGGUGAAGAGUGAGUGCCUCCGUCUUGCCUAUGUCAUCGGUCUAAUGGAAUUCCACCCGUACCAAGUGUCCUGGUGUCAGUGAUACAAAGUGAGAUGGUGGUUGCUUUUGGUUAUCCCUGGGCUUACUGAGGGGACUUCCGCUCUUUUUUAACUUGUCAGGGGGUCCCCAGUCUGUUUCUUUGAUCCACUGUCCUUUCAAGUCGAAGACUGAGGGGAAGACUCACAUCCACUGGAAGGUUGGGGUCAGAGAGACGCAUCCAUAAAGAUGAUUUUUUGGCAAAGUUCUCUGUCCUUGCAGGAUCUUGGCUGGAGUUGCUGGCAGAGGGAGCACUUCUGCUGGAUGGGGCCCUCGCUGAGACAGUAGACGCACUGAGAGUGCUUGUCUGCAAUUGGCAUUGCCUUGCUGCAAGGCAAGCACUUCUUGAAGCCCAAAGAGCCAGCAUAACCUUGUCCAGUGGGGUCCCCUCUCCCGCACUGGGUGUUGACAAAAGAACAAAGUCCUUCCUUUGUCUUCUUUCUUCUUCCUUCUUUUUUUAAAGGCAUGGUCAAAUAAACAGAAGAAAAGAAACAAUGAGGCUUCAAAGGGAGCUAAAAUUUAGUAAAUUGACCCCACAACGUAGAUGCCUGAGGAUUCCUCCUCCAUGAUCUCUCUGCUUCUGGGCCCCACAUAUAGAAAAAACAUGGUGAUUCUGCUGUGGUUUGGGCCCUCUGUGGCCACCAAAGUACCUGGAGGAUUCAGCCUUGUGGCAAGGUGAGAUUAACCAAACCUACCAGGAAGUAACUGAUCAUCAAAAUAUAGAAUGCAGGUAAAAAAGCAAGCAUCAGUAACCUGCUCUUUUACUGCUAGUUCUCACACUAGGAUACUUCAAGGACUCUACUUCUCCUUACAUACUUUUUAUCCAGAAGCCUAAAGAAACAUUCCUGAAAGCCGGUUGGCUGUAAGUUUUUAUGAGCAUUUUUGAGUUUUUUUAAACUAUAGCAUGUUCCUAAAUGAAGUGUGGGAGCUGGAAUUUGCCCUUAUGCAUUUUUGUGAUACUAUGAAGACUAUGAAUUAAUGUUUUGUGAUGUUCCUGAAAUUAGAAGCUCCAUGAACCUAUCAUUUUAUGAUAUUUAUGAUUUGCUUCAUAAUUCAUUCUCCACAGACAAAUCAAAAGUCCAAAUGCAAUUGCUGUUGUGGGAUAAUAAGGCAUGAAGUGGUGUGUUUGGAGUUAAAUUUACAUAAGAAGAAAGAUGUUGGAAAAGUUUAUGAUGAUCAGAACAACUGAUGAAGAUGCCAGACUGCUAGUUUCCCAGAAACUACUGAAAAAAAUACUCUGUCACUAGUGUGAAUAAUUAAAGGCAUAUCAGAGGAUUUGAUGGUUUUACAAAACGGGGAGUUUUUCAUAAAAUGUUACAUUUUUCUGACUUUGUGAUCCGAGGUUUCAAGUCAAUAGGGCUCAAUGGGGGACCAUCGAAUCUAAAGGGCUACGCCCCCUCUGUGGCGCUCAUGACAUCUAGUGGUAAGAAUCCCCAAGGCCAUUCUUUCUCAUUCAGGGCAGCAACACCUAGCAACAAGUGUCCCCAGGGCCACCCUUCCUCUCAGGGCAGCAGCAAGAGGUCACAUGCUCUCUCAGGGCAGCACUGCCCAGUGUCAACAGUCCAAGGCACUAGCGCCUAGUACCAACAGUCCCAGGCAGUAGCACCUAGUAGGGGAACCUGGGCCCCCCCUCCUGCAGCAGGUUCCAUCCCAGGGCCCUACGAAACCAAUC